CCAGGGGAUGCCGAAAACCUGGGUAAACAGAGUAGGCA
rfam:Sphingobacteriales bacterium 46-32 scnpilot_p_inoc_scaffold_6, whole genome shotgun sequence.